rnacentral:lncRNA from 1 species
CACAAGUUCAAUUCUUUUUUUUCAUAAAUACCUAAUAUUAACUAAAGUAUCUGAUAAACCAUCUAUUAUGCAUAUGCACAGCUUGGACCGCCGUAGUAGACGGGUGCUUGUCUGUACAAAGGUGGAGUAGGAAUCUGGGGAAUCGGUUGUGAAAAGGGUAGGUAAUUAUUGGGGAAGCGUUGAGGAUAGAAAUGAUUGGGAAAAGGUUGAGGGUAAAACGUAGGCAUGCUAGGAUAUGGAGGAAAAGCGGAACAAAACAUCUUUUGUGGGGGGAACAAUCUUCGUUUACCGUCUGUACACUUGACAAGUAAGGGGGAAAUUCUGUCGGAUUACCCAUUGCGUCGUAAUUUAGCAUGUUAGGUGGCCGUCGCGUCCGAACUGACCAUCGAAGCACAGCUUCCUCUGUUGGAUCUUCGGUCUCGGUAGUGUCUGUACGAGUUGCUGGUUCUUGUAUUGGUUCAUCGGUAUCAUGACCGUGAUUAUCAUCGAAUUGUUCCUGUAACCCAGCGUCCAGUACUUCACAAAUUGCCGCAAGUGUUUCGGCCAAAUUUUCUGUUGUUGUUGCAGGCUGGUUAGCAUACACUUCAGCAGGAGUAAAUCCGCAAAAUUCUUCAUCAUCACUGUCACGUUCAGAUUCUUCAUAUUCCGCA